rnacentral:rRNA from 1 species
CUCUGCGCAAGGGUACUUUUGGUUCGCUAGACGAAGAAGGGCGCAGCGGAAUGCGAAAUGUGCAGGAGCAGCAGCGAAGAUAGCACAUGCCUGAAAUCACGAGAGUGAGACUACCCCUUUGAAUUAAGCAUAUGAGUAAAGGGAGGAAAAGAAACUAACAAGGAUUCCUGUAGUAGCGGCGAGCGAAGAAGGAACAGCCCCGAGUGUAAUCACCUAUAAUUAAUAUAGAGUG